UUAGUGGCGAACGGGCGAGUAACACAUAUUUAACUUACCUGCACGAGGAGAAUAGCAACUCGAAAGAGUUAUUAAUACUCCAUAGGUUUGAGACUCAAAUUAAAGGGAGCGUUCUGGGAAACUAGAGCUUCGCGAGCAGAGAGGAGUAUGUCCUAUUAGGUUGUUGGUGGGGUAAUUGCCUACCAAGCCGAUGAUGGGUAGCUGGACUGAGAGGUCGACCAGCCGCAAUGGGAUUGAAAUACGGCCCAUAUUCCUACGGGAAGCAGCAGUGAGGAAUUUUUCACAAUGGACGAAAGUCUGAUGGAGCAAUACCAUGUGAACGAUGAAGGUCUUCUGAUUGUAAAGUUCUUUUAUUUAGGAAAAAAAGCUUGAUAGGAAAUGAUUAAGCCUUGAUUGUACUAAAU
rnacentral:rRNA from 1 species